rnacentral:rRNA from 1 species
AUUGAACGCUGGCGGCAGGCCUAACACAUGCAAGUCGAGCGAGCGGCGGACUGGUGAGUAAUGUAUGGGGACUGCCCGAUAGAGGGGGAUAACUACUGGAAACGGUAGCUAAUACCGCAUACUAUCGGAUAACCCAUAUGGGAUUAGCUAGUAGGUGAGGUAAUGGCUCACCUAGGCGACGAUCCCUAGCUGGUCUGAGAGGAUGAUCAGCCACAAUGGGACUGAGACACGGCACAGACUCCUACGGAGGCAGCAGUGGGGAAUAUUGCACAAUGGGCGCAAGCCUGAUGCAGCCAUGCCGCGUGUAUGAAGAAGGCCCUAGGGUUGUAAAGUACUUUUGGCAGAGAAGCGGUACCUGCAGAAUAAGCACCGGCUAACUACGUGCCAGCAGCCGCGGUAAUAC